GGGGAAUCUUCCGCAAUGGGCGAAAGCCUGACGGAGCAACGCCGCGUGAGUGAAGACGGCCUUCGGGUUGUAAAGCUCUGUUAUACGGGACGAAAAGUCUUGUGGUUAAUACCCAUAAGAAGUGACGGUACCGUAAGAGAAAGCCACGGCUAACUACGUGCCAGCAGCCGCGGUAAUACGUAGGUGGCAAGCGUUGUCCGGAAUUAUUGGGCGUAAAGGGCGCGCAGGCGGCUUCUUAAGUCUGUCUUAAAAGUGCGGGGCUUAACCCCGUGAUGGGAUGGAAACUGCCAAUCUAGAGUAUCGGAGAGGAAAGUGGAAUUCCUAGUGUAGCGGUGAAAUGCGUAGAUAUUAGGAAGAACACCAGUGGCGAAGGCGACUUUCUGGACGAAAACUGACGCUGAGGCGCGAAAGCCAGGGGAGCGAACGGGAUUAGAUACCCCGGUAGUCCUGGCCGUAAACGAUGGGUACUAGGUGUAGGAGGUAUCGACCCCUUCUGUGCCGGAGUUAACGCAAUAAGUACCCCGCCUGGGGAGUACGACCGCAAGGUUG
rnacentral:rRNA from 1 species